UUUCUCCUCAGUUUGGAACCAUCUGUGACUGGAGCCAUGACGCAGCCAGCGCACAUUACUCACUUUUUACAGUCACGACUUGGAAAUCCGUGCGGUUUCCACCCCAAAAUUACACCGCCACCAUUGAAUUAUUUAAUAGGAUCCAGUUCAGGACGCUGGGGGGCUGCUGGUAAAUACGACCACCACGCAAGCUCGGAGAAAAGACCGUGUAGACAUUGAGGGCAGCCGUGGUGGGUGGAGGACCGUGCUGUGAAUUCAAGCGCUGCUGCUGCUGCUGCUGCUGCUGCUACUGCUGCUGGUGGGGUGUGUGUGUCUGUGAUUAAUUGCAUGAAAUGCUGUCUUUUGUCUGCCGAGAUGAGAGUCCCCCGUUACAAUCGGGGUUUGGCCAGGAGGUUGCUCUCCUUCACACCCCCCACCCCACCCCGGUGUUAUCCUAGUGCUCAUGGCUGCAUCAUGCCAUUGUCUGCGGGAUCCGCAAUUGUUUGCUGGGCUUUGUAUGGUAGGUGCACCAUUUUCUAAGCUUGCUUUUGCGGUGAGGCUCUGGCUCAACGUGCUCGGGGCUCGGCGAGGUGCUGUGUGUUGACUGGGGGGACGGAAAAAAAAAGCUGCUGCCUCGGCUAUUGUUUGCCCGGUGGCUUUGCCAGCCUCUUGCAGGUCCGAGGCUGCGGCUGAGCCCCCCUUGCACGGAGGGACAGCGUGGCGUGGGAUAACGGGGUGGUGCAUGGUGAGCGUGGUGGUGAGUGCCAGCCGGGGUUUCCGUGUCUCUCUCUUAAUGCAAUCUGAUGACAUGUCUUUGCUAGCCGGAAUGCCCAUCAAACCUGCAUGCUCAUUGCCUAGCCAGAACUUCCCCCGGCUCCCAGAAGCGGCUGAGGGCAUGACGGGGGUUUUUGCAGCACCGAGGUAACCCCACAUUCCCCUACUCCGUACACACCACAACAAUCCCCCGCUACUUUGCCUCUAAUUCAGUCAUUCCACCAACUCAUCUGCUGAGGAUAUGACUAAGGACGUGAAGGACGGGCAAUAAUAAAAACAGACACACACACACAAUCUGCAGAAGGUGCGAGGGGAGAAACGAGGUGGGAGGAGAAGGGGUGAGUCCAAAUAAAGCAACCUAUAGCCUCUUA